rnacentral:tRNA from 5 species
GCCGGGGUAGCUCAGUGGUAGAGCAGCUGAUUCGUAAUCAGCAGGCCGAGGGUUCAACCCCCUUCCCCGGCU